CGCUGGCGGCGUGCCUAAUACAUGCAAGUCGAGCGAACAGAUAAGGAGCUUGCUCCUUUGACGUUAGCGGCGGACGGGUGAGUAACACGUGGAUAACCUACCUAUAAGACUGGGAUAACUUCGGGAAACCGGAGCUAAUACCGGAUAACAUAUUGAACCGCAUGGUUCAAUAGUGAAAGGCGGCUUUGCUGUCACUUAUAGAUGGAUCCGCGCCGUAUUAGCUAGUUGGUAAGGUAACGGCUUACCAAGGCAACGAUACGUAGCCGACCUGAGAGGGUGAUCGGCCACACUGGAACUGAGACACGGUCCAGACUCCUACGGGAGGCAGCAGUAGGGAAUCUUCCGCAAUGGGCGAAAGCCUGACGGAGCAACGCCGCGUGAGUGAUGAAGGUCUUCGGAUCGUAAAACUCUGUUAUCAGGGAAGAACAAAUGUGUAAGUAACUGUGCACAUCUUGACGGUACCUGU
rnacentral:rRNA from 1 species